AUGUUGACUCAGAUUUUAUUGGACAUAUUGUUCAACUGGCCAAGAGAAGGAAUUCUUGUUCAACGUGUUCUCAACAUGUUGACUUCAGAUGUUCUCUUUGAGAAAUUAUUGACACAGAGAAGUAAUGACCUUUCUCCAGUUUUGCAUAUUAAGAACUAUUGUUUGUUAAUAUCUCAUCAAUCUUCUUUGAGACAAUUACAGUUUUGUAAAUUUCCAAAUUUAUUGGAGAAAAGAGAUCAAAAUUUUCUUCUCAUUCUCAUGCAGCUUCAGAUGUUUUACCCAUCAGCUCUUGCUAUAGGCUUUUGUACAUGUUAUCUUGCUUACAGCAAGAUCUGCAUCCUUGCAUUGUAG
rnacentral:rRNA from 1 species